rnacentral:rRNA from 1 species
UACGGGGGGGCAAGCGUUGUUCGGAAUUACUGGGCGUAAAGGGCUCGUAGGCGGCCAACUAAGUCAGACGUGAAAUCCCCAGGCUUAACCUGGGAACUGCGUCUGAUACUGGAUGGCUUGAAUCCGGGAGAGGGAUGCGGAAUUCCAGGUGUAGCGGUGAAAUGCGUAGAUAUCUGGAGGAACACCGGUGGCGAAGGCGGCAUCCUGGACCAAUAUUGACGCUGAGGAGCGAAAGCCAGGGGAGCAAACGGG